rnacentral:rRNA from 1 species
UUACCAUGCAAGUCGAACGCGAAAGAGGGGCAACCCUUGAGUAGAGUGGCGAACGGGCGGGCCUCCGUCGAACGUAUCCAGUAGUGGGGGAUAACCCAUGAAAGUGGGCUAAUACCGCAUACGCCCCGAGGGGGAAAGUGGGGGAUCCGCAAGGACCUCACGUUAUUGGAGCGGCCGAUGUCCGAUUAGCUAGUUGGCGGGGUAAGAGCCCACCAAGGCGACGAUCGGUAGCUGGUCUGAGAGGAUGAUCAGCCACACUGGGACUGAGACACGGCCCAGACUCCUACGGGAGGCAGCAGUGGGGAAUUUUGGACAAUGGGGGCAACCCUGAUCCAGCCAUGCCGCGUGAGUGAAGAAGGCCUUCGGGUUGUAAAGCUCUUUCGGCCGGAACGAAAUCGCAUCCUCUAAUACGGGGUGUGGAUGACGGUACCGGAAGAAGAAGCACCGGCUAACUACGUGCCAGCAGCCGCGGUAAUACGUAGGGUGCGAGCGUUAAUCGGAAUUACUGGGCGUAAAGCGUGCGCAGGCGGUUCGCUAAGACAGGUGUGAAAUCCCCGGGCUUAACCUGGGAAUGGCGCUUGUGACUGGCGGGCUGGAGUACGGCAGAGGGAGGUGGAAUUCCACGUGUAGCAGUGAAAUGCGUAGAGAUGUGGAGGAACACCGAUGGCGAAGGCAGCCUCCUGGGCCAGUACUGACGCUCAUGCACGAAAGCGUGGGGAGCAAACAGGAUUAGAUACCCCUGGUAGUCCACGCCCUAAACGAUGCAACUAG